UUAACUAUUAUAUAUUUUCUCAGACAAUUUAAAUACGAGAAUGAUUAUAACUCUGGCAAACACAUGCGUAGCGUAUGUUCACCAAAGCAACCUGGUAUGGUAUUCAGGACGGGAGAUGUACCCAAAGGGCAAGUUCUCUCUAAUGAUCCUUCCGCAGGUUCACCUACGGAAA
rnacentral:misc_RNA from 1 species